GGCAACAAAACUGACACCUUUUUUUUACAAGGAGUCAUGUUUGCAUAGACCACAAUACCUGCAGUCAGAAUGCAAACAAAAAACAUAACUCUGAUAAUGUACGCACUGUCCUUGAAGUUGAUUGGUCCACACCCGAGACAGCUUACCUUAGAGCCUCGUCUCACAUGGGUUGGACCAGAUGACGCCAAAAGGCGCACAACUCCAUCAGAGUAUGAGAGCUCGGGCAAAACAAAAUAGAACCCACCGCUGGAAGGGCUGAUGGGCGACGGCCGAGACUGGCGAUGCAUUGGCAGAGAGCACGCUGGAGAGGAUGACCAACAGAGAGGCGGAGCAAUGAGGUGAGGCCGCGGUGGACUCAUUUGCAAGAGUUACCUGGUUUGGAGUUUCCACGACCGGCCUAAGUCAACCAAGAGACAACCACUGCCCAAUGCUCAUUGCAGCGUGAAUACUCUUGGACUUGUUUGCGAGGAAAAACAUUGUAUAGGAUCAGUGAGAUUGUAUUAUGGCUCGUAAAGAUUUUACAGUUCAGAGAAUGUUAAGGAUAAUGACUCCAGACUGUAAUUAGAUAGCGGUAUGCUUGAUUUGUUUCACAUCUUCUCAGAUGUUUGGGCAGUAUGAAAGAGUAGGCCUAAUAACCUCUAGAAGGGCUCUCCAGAGCUCCCUCAAAGUGGAGGCCCUACCACCAUAAGAAGGGUGAGAAGUGUUUGUUGUCGUAACGUACUGACCCGCCCCUACUGGGCAUCUGUGAAAAAGAGCUUCACAGCUCAUCGGAUUUCUCUCGGAUAAAUAAAGACUGAUUCCGAGAAUUAAAUUUCAGGCUGCACCUCUACCUUUUACACUUGAUUUACACAAGACACAUUCCUUCAUGUCCUACCCAUUGAAGAAACACCAAUAUAUAAACAUUUAUUGCUGGAAAGGAAGUACCAAAGAGAGCGCAUUUGACAGCUAAGGUAAUGGUGUGAUUUUGUUGU